rnacentral:sRNA from 1 species
CACCUAACCCUGUCGGCUCCGGUCGGCAGGUAUGGUGAAAAAGACGAGUGAAGCGUAAAGACCCCAUCGUGGUGUUGCUUCACUCGCCGUACCGGGAAACCGGUAUGUCCGGCGCAAGUCGGA